rnacentral:rRNA from 1 species
GUGGAUGAGGCAUGCAAGUCGAACGGACUUAGUAGCAAUACUAAGUUAGUGGCGGAAGGGUUAGUAAUACAUGGGUAACCUGCCUUUAACACUGGGAUAACGAUUGGAAACGAUCGCUAAUACCGGAUGUGGUCAAUAGAGGUAGAUUCUAUUGAUUAAAGUGGGGGACUGUCAAAGGCCUUGUGGUUAGAGAGGGGCCCAUGGGAUAUCAGCUAGUUGGUGAGGUAAUGGCUCACCAAGGCUAAGACGUCUAGGCGGAUUGAGAGAUUG